CUCCUGGUAGCUCAGCUGGAUAGAGCAUCUGCCUUCUAAGCAGAGGGUCGCAGGUUCGAAUCCUGCCCAGGAGGCCA
rnacentral:tRNA from 1 species